rnacentral:rRNA from 1 species
GGGUAAUUAAAAUUAAAAAUUUAAAAUAAAUUAAUCUCGAAUUUAAAAGAUUUAAUUGAAAAUUUUAAGUUUAUGUGAAAUUAUAAUUAUUAAUUUUUAAUUAGAAGUGAAAUAUUAAUCAAUUUUAAAUAUAUCUAGUUUUUUUAGAAUUGAAUUUAAUUCAGCUUUGAAAUUUAUUUAUAUUAAUAAAAUUUAUUUUAUUGAAAUUUAUUACAGAGUAAAUAUAAUCGGGAUAAAUUGAUUAUAUAUAUUUAUAAAUUAAUUUUUAAUAAUUUAUUAUUAAAAAUAAUAUUAAAAUUAUAUAUUUUUAAUAAAAAUGUUUAAAUUUAUAGAUUAUAUUUUUAAAAAAUUGUUAAAUUUGAAUUUUAAUUAUUUAUAAAAAUUUUUUAAUUAAUAAAUUAAUUAUAAAAAAUAAUGAUUAUAUUAGUAAAAUUUUUAAUGUUUUAAUGAUUUUAAAAAUAGUUGAAUAAAUAAAUUUAAGGAAUUAGGCAAAAAUUUUAAUUUUUAAAUUUAUAUUUACCUGUUUAUCAAAAACAUGUCUUAUUGAUAAAAAUAAUAAGUUUAUUCUGCCCACUGAAUGAAAAAUUUAAAAGGCUGCAGUAUAAUGACUGUACAAAGGUAGCAAAAUCAAUAGUUUUUUAAUUGAAAACUGGAAUGAAAGAAUUAAUAAAAUAUAUUCUGUCUCAAAUUUAUUAUUUAAUUAAAUUUAAAUAAGAAGUUAAAAUGCUUUUAUAUAUUUAUUAGACGAUAAGACCCUAAGAAUUUAAUAUAAUUUUUUAUAGAAAGAUUUUAUGAAUAUAUAUAUAUAUAUAUAUAUAUAUAUAUUAUAAUUAAAUUUAUAUUUUAUUGGGAGGGUAAUUAAAUUUUUGAAACUUUAAUUAUUAAUAAACAUGGAUGAAUGAUUAUUUUAUGAUAAUAUUAAUACUUAUAAGAAUAAAUUACCUUAG